UACGAAGGGAGCUAGCGUUGUUCGGAAUUACUGGGCGUAAAGGGUUUGUAGGUGGCUUGUUAAGUCAGACGUGAAAUCCCUCAGCUUAACUGGGGAACUGCGUCUGAUACUGGCGAGCUUGAGUGCAGGAGAGGAACGCGGAAUUCCAGGUGUAGCGGUGAAAUGCGUAGAUAUCAGGAGGAACACCGGUGGCGAAGGCGGAUCUCUGGGCCAUUACUGACGCUGAGGAGCGAAAGCGUGGGGAGCGAACAGG
rnacentral:rRNA from 1 species